AUGCAAGUCGAACGAUGAAGCCCAGCUUGCUGGGUGGAUUAGUGGCGAACGGGUGAGUAACACGUGAGUAACCUGCCCUUCACUCUGGGAUAACUCCGGGAAACCGGUGCUAAUACUGGAUAUGACUACUUCCCGCAUGGGAUGGUGGUGGAAAGUUUUUCGGUGGGGGAUGGACUCGCGGCCUAUCAGCUUGUUGGUGGGGUAAUGGCCUACCAAGGCGACGACGGGUAGCCGGCCUGAGAGGGCGACCGGCCACACUGGGACUGAGACACGGCCCAGACUCCUACGGGAGGCAGCAGUGGGGAAUAUUGCACAAUGGGCGAAAGCCUGAUGCAGCGACGCCGCGUGAGGGAUGACGGCCUUCGGGUUGUAAACCUCUUUCAGCAGGGACGAAGCUUUUGUGACGGUACCUGCAGAAGAAGCACCGGCUAACUACGUGCCAGCAGCCGCGGUAAUACGUAGGGUGCGAGCGUUGUCCGGAAUUAUUGGGCGUAAAGAGCUUGUAGGCGGUUUGUCGCGUCUGCUGUGAAAACUCGGGGCUUAACUCCGAGCCUGCAGUGGGUACGGGCAGACUAGAGUAUGGUAGGGGAGACUGGAAUUCCUGGUGUAGCGGUGGAAUGCGCAGAUAUCAGGAGGAACACCGAUGGCGAAGGCAGGUCUCUGGGCCAUAACUGACGCUGAGAAGCGAAAGCAUGGGUAGCGAACAGGAUUAGAUACCCUGGUAGAAUCACUAGUGAAUUC
rnacentral:rRNA from 1 species